AACGGUUUGGCAUAGUGGUCUAAGGCGCCGGGCGUGGGUUCAAAUCCCACAGUCGUCA
rnacentral:tRNA from 1 species